GAUGAACGCUGGCGGCGUGCCUAAUACAUGCAAGUCGAGCGAACAGACGAGGAGCUUGCUCCUCUGACGUUAGCGGCGGACGGGUGAGUAACACGUGGAUAACCUACCUCUAAUACUGGGAUAACUUCGUGAAACCGGAGCUAAUACCGGAUAAUAUAUUGAACCGCAUGGUUCAAUAGUGAAAGACGGUUUUGCUGUCACUUAUAGAUGGAUCCGCGCCGGAUUAGCUAGUUGGUAAGGUAACGGCUUACCAAGGCAACGAUGCGUAGCCGACCUGAGAGGGUGAUCGGCCACACUGGAACUGAGACACGGUCCAGACUCCUACGGGAGGCAGCAGUAGGGAAUCUUCCGCAAUGGGCGAAAGCUUGACGGAGCAACGCCGCGUGAGUGAUGAAGGUCUUCGGAUCGUAAAACUCUGUUAUUAGGGAAGAACAAAUGUGUAAGUAACUAUGCACGUCUUGACGGUACCUAAUCAGAAAGCCACGGCUAACUACGUG
rnacentral:rRNA from 1 species